UACGGAGGGUGCGAGCGUUGUUCGGAAUUACUGGGCGUAAAGCGCGUGUAGGCGGCCUCUUCAGUCUGGUGUGAAAGCCCGGGGCUCAACCCCGGAAGUGCAUUGGAUACUGGGAGGCUGGAGUACCGGAGAGGAGGGUGGAAUUCCUGGUGUAGCGGUGAAAUGCGUAGAUAUCAGGAGGAACACCUGUGGCGAAGGCAGCUCUCUGGGUCCCUACCGACGCUGGAGUGCGAAAGCAUGGGGAGCGAAUGGG
rnacentral:rRNA from 1 species